UCGGGGUGUGGCUCAGCUUGGCUAGAGCGCCUGGUUUGGGACCAGGAGGUCGCAGGUUCGAAUCCUGUCACCCCGAU
rnacentral:tRNA from 10 species